CUCCUUUAUAAGUAAAACGAUAACUAUAUUUGGUAUGUGCGUACGCUGCAAGGUCCUCAUGUUUGUCAAACAGUUUUUACUUGUGACCUUGACCUUUUCAUGGAUCAGUGAACAAAGUUCAGUUUUUGUAGUCAAGUCCAUAUCACAGAUACUAUAACCAAUAGGUCUACUAUAUUUGAUAUAUGGAAUGAUUGUUAAGGUGUACACCUCCCAACUGACAGUUGUCAUCUGAUAUUGACCACAUUUCCAUGGUUCAGUGGUGAAUGUUUACUUCUUUAUUUCGUAGUCAAUUGUAUUUUUGUGUAUGGAAUGGUGGUAAGGUGUACAUGUCAGUCUGGCAUUAAUCAUGUAACCUUGACAUCAUUUUCAUGGUUCAUUGGUCAAUGCUAUUGUUUCAUUCGUUUCAAUAUAAAUUUUUAUUUAAGCCAAUAAUACAGGUAUUACUGAGUACGUAUACAGGUAAAAUGUAAUAUUCAAAAGAUAAUUUUAAUAAUAAC
rnacentral:lncRNA from 1 species